UACGAAGGGGGCUAGCGUUGCUCGGAAUCACUGGGCGUAAAGGGUGCGUAGGCGGGUCUUUAAGUCAGGGGUGAAAUCCUGGAGCUCAACUCCAGAACUGCCUUUGAUACUGAAGAUCUUGAGUUCGGGAGAGGUGAGUGGAACUCCGAGUGUAGAGGUGAAAUUCGUAGAUAUUCGGAAGAACACCAGUGGCGAAGGCGACUCACUGGGCCAUUACUGACGCUGAGGCGCGAAAGCGUGGGGAGCGAACAGG
rnacentral:rRNA from 1 species